CCUACGGGGGGCAGCAGUGGGGAAUAUUGCACAAUGGGGGAAACCCUGAUGCAGCGACGCCGCGUGAGUGAAGAAGUAAUUCGUUACGUAAAGCUCUAUCAGCAGGGAAGAAAUACUGACCUUACGGUCAGCAGACGGUACCUGAGUAAGAAGCCCCGGCUAACUACGUGCCAGCAGCCGCGGUAAUACGUAGGGGGCAAGCGUUAUCCGGAUUUACUGGGUGUAAAGGGAGCGUAGACGGCUGUGCAAGUCUGAAGUGAAAGCCCGUGGCUCAACCGCGGAACUGCUUUGGAAACUGUAGAGCUUGAGUACUGGAGAGGCAGGCGGAAUUCCUAGUGUAGCGGUGAAAUGCGUAGAUAUUAGGAGGAACACCAGUGGCGAAGGCGGCCUGCUGGACAGAAACUGACGUUGAGGCUCGAAAGUGUGGGGAGCAAACAGGAUUAGAUACCCGAGUAGUC
rnacentral:rRNA from 1 species